GAUGAACGCUGGCGGCGUGCCUAAUACAUGCCAGUCGAGCGAACGGACGAGAAGCUUGCUUCUCUGAUGUUAGCGGCGGACGGGUGAGUAACACGUGGAUAACCUACCUAUAAGACUGGGAUAACUUCGGGAAACCGGAGCUAAUACCGGAUAAUAUUUUGAACCGCAUGGUUCAAAAGUGAAAGACGGUCUUGCUGUCACUUAUAGAUGGAUCCGCGCUGCAUUAGCUAGUUGGUAAGGUAACGGCUUACCAAGGCAACGAUGCAUAGCCGACCUGAGAGGGUGAUCGGCCACACUGGAACUGAGACACGGUCCAGACUCCUACGGGAGGCAGCAGUAGGGAAUCUUCCGCAAUGGGCGAAAGCCUGACGGAGCAACGCCGCGUGAGUGAUGAAGGUCUUCGGAUCGUAAAACUCUGUUAUUAGGGAAGAACAUAUGUGUAAGUAACUGUGCACAUCUUGACGGUACCUAAUCAGAAAGACACGGCUAACUACGUG
rnacentral:rRNA from 1 species